CAGAAAGUAGUUUAAUUAUUUAAGAAUAUUAGCUUUGGGGGCUAGUGGUGGGGGUUAGACUCUCCUCUUUCUGA
rnacentral:tRNA from 1 species